GGCGCCAUGGCUUAGUUUGGCAAAGCGCCUGUCUAGUAAACAGGAGAUCCCCGGUCGAAUCCGGGUGGUGCCU
rnacentral:tRNA from 1 species